GAUGAACGCUGGCGGCGUGCCUAAUACAUGCAAGUCGAGCGAACAGAUAAGGGGCUUGCUCCUUUGCAGUUAGCGGCGGACGGGUGAGUAACACGUGGGUAACCUACCUAUAAGACUGGGAUAACUUCGGGAAACCGGAGCUAAUACCGGAUAACAUUUAGAACCGCAUGGUUCUAAAGUGAAAGAUGGUUUUGCUAUCACUUAUAGAUGGACCCGCGCCGGAUUAGCUAGUUGGUAAGGUAACGGCUUACCAAGGCGACGAUACGUAGCCGACCUGAGAGGGUGAUCGGCCACACUGGAACUGAGACACGGUCCAGACUCCUACGGGAGGCAGCAGUAGGGAAUCUUCCGCAAUGGGCGAAAGCCUGACGGAGCAACGCCGCGUGAGUGAUGAAGGGUUUCGGCUCGUAAAACUCUGUUAUUAGGGAAGAACAAAUGUGUAAGUAACUGUGCACAUCUUGACGGUACCUAAUCAGAAAGCCACGGCUAACUACGUG
rnacentral:rRNA from 1 species